rnacentral:rRNA from 1 species
GCGUUUUACAGCAGUGGGGAAUAUUGCACAAUGGGGGAUACCCUGUAUGCAGCGACGCCGCGUGAGCGAAGAAGUAUUUCGGUAUGUAUAGCUCUAUCAGCAGGGAAGAAAUUGACGGUACCUGACUAAGAAGCACCGGCUAUAUACGUGCCAGCAGCCGCGGAC